CAGACGUGCAUGUCCUUUAUCGAUAUUUUGAUACGGAAUAAUACAAAUCAAAGUCGUAUUUUUUGUUUCAUCAUCAAAAUGGGUUCAGUAAAAUCUCUGCUAAUAUUUUUCGUAUUCAUGCUCACACUUGAGAUAAUUGCUUGCCACUGAUACGGAAGGUUCGGCUACCCGCCACCUCCGCCCCUGCCGCCCCCGAUCAUAUUUGGAGGAUUCGGGUAUGGAAGAUAUUACAGACCAUACCCGCAAAUCAUAGUCGCCCCAAUACCGCCACCAUUCUUUGGUUAAUAAAUAGUGGUAGCUUCGGACGUUGCGACUUCAGGGGUGUUGAUUCGAAUUCCGUUUCUCCGCGUGAUGUAAAUUUUAGUAUUUAUUUUAAGAUAAUGUUAUGAUAAUGUUUAUUUGUAAGGCUUAUUAAAAUAUUAUAAAAGCUUAAA